rnacentral:rRNA from 1 species
AUUGAACGCUGGCGGCAGGCUUAACACAUGCAAGUCGAGCGGAGAUGAGGUGCUUGCACCUUAUCUUAGCGGCGGACGGGUGAGUAAUGCUUAGGAAUCUGCCUAUUAGUGGGGGACAACAUUCCGAAAGGAAUGCUAAUACCGCAUACGCCCUACGGGGGAAAGCAGGGGAUCUUCGGACCUUGCGCUAAUAGAUGAGCCUAAGUCGGAUUAGCUAGUUGGUGGGGUAAAGGCCUACCAAGGCGACGAGCUGUAGCGGGUCGGAGAGGAUGAUCCGCCACACUGGGACUGAGACACGGCCCAGACUCCUACGGGAGGCAGCAGUGGGGAAUAUUGGACAAUGGGCGGAAGCCUGAUCCAGCCAUGCCGCGUGUGUGAAGAAGGCCUCUUGGUUGUAAAGCACUUUAAGCGAGGAGGAGGCUACCUGGAUUAAUACUCUAGGAUAGUGGACGUUACUCGCAGAAUAAGCACCGGCUAACUCUGUGCCAGCCGCCGCGGUAAAAC